rnacentral:rRNA from 1 species
UACGUAGGGUGCAAGCGUUCAUCGGAAUUACUGGGCGUAAAGCGUGCGCAGGCGGUUUUGUAAGACUGUCGUGAAAUCCCCGGGCUUAACCUGGGAACUGCAUUGGUGACUGGCAGGCUUUGAGUGUGGCAGAGGGAGGUAGAAUUCCACGUGUACCAGUGAAAUGCGUAGAGAUGUGGAGGAAUACCGAUGGCGAAGGCAGCCUCCUGGGCCAACACUGACGCUCAUGCACGAAAGCGUGGGGAGCAAACAGG